rnacentral:rRNA from 1 species
UACGUAGGUCCCGAGCGUUGUCCGGAUUUAUUGGGCGUAAAGCGAGCGCAGGUGGUUUAUUAAGUCUGGUGUAAGAGGCAGUGGCUCAACCAUUGUAUGCAUUGGAAACUGGUAGACUUGAGUGCAGGAGAGGAGAGUGGAAUUCCAUGUGUAGCGGUGAAAUGCGUAGAUAUAUGGAGGAACACCGGUGGCGAAAGCGGCUCUCUGGCCUGUAACUGACACUGAGGCUCGAAAGCGUGGGAAGCAAACAGG